UGGCCCAUAGCUCAAGGGUUAGAGCCCCCGUCUUAUAAGCGGGAGGUUCCGGGUUCAAGUCCCGGUGGGCCAA
rnacentral:tRNA from 1 species